rnacentral:tRNA from 18 species
CGGGGCGUGGCGCAGCCUGGUAGCGCACUUGCAUGGGGUGCAAGGGGUCGCGAGUUCGAAUCCCGCCGCCCCGACCA